UACGUAGGUGACCAGCGUUGUCCGGAUUUACUGGGCGUAAAGAGCGCGCAGGCGGUCGUUCAAGUCGAGUGUGAAAGCCCCCGGCUCAACUGGGGAGGGUCACUCGAUACUGAUCGACUUGAAGGCAGGAGAGGGAAGCGGAAUUCCCGGUGUAGUGGUGAAAUGCGUAGAUAUCGGGAGGAACACCAGUGGCGAAGGCGGCUUCCUGGCCUGUUCUUGACGCUGAGGCGCGAAAGCUGGGGGAGCGAACGGG
rnacentral:rRNA from 1 species